rnacentral:SRP_RNA from 1 species
GUGCUAGAUGGGGAGCUAGUGGUGCCCUGUAUCUACAAUCCACUACAGUAGAGUUGAAUGCUCUUUUGAGGAAAGGAUUUGUGCUUCAAGUGGGUUAAGUCUUGGUGAUGACGCCAAGGUCUUGUGCAACGGUUAAUCAUGAACCAUGUCAGGGUCUGACGACAGCAGCAUUAAGUGAAUCUAAUUGUGUGCCACAAGGAAACUUUGACCGAGCCACGCUUAA